UACGAAGGGGGCUAGCGUUGUUCGGAUUUACUGGGCGUAAAGCGCACGUAGGCGGAUUUGUCAGUCAGGGGUGAAAUCCCGGGGCUCAACCUCGGAACUGCCUCUGAUACAGCAAAUCUCGAGUCCGGAAGAGGUGAGUGGAACUCCUAGUGUAGAGGUGAAAUUCGUAGAUAUUAGGAAGAGCACCAGUGGCGAAGGCGGCUCACUGGUCCGGAACUGACGCUGAGGUGCGAAAGCGUGGGGAGCAAACAGG
rnacentral:rRNA from 1 species